UACGUAGGGUGCAAGCGUUAAUCGGAAUUACUGGGCGUAAAGCGUGCGCAGGCGGCUUUGCAAGACAGAUGUGAAAUCCCCGGGCUUAACCUGGGAACUGCAUUUGUGACUGCAUGGCUGGAGUGCGGCAGAGGGGGAUGGAAUUCCGCGUGUAGCAGUGAAAUGCGUAGAUAUGCGGAGGAACACCGAUGGCGAAGGCGGCAUCCUGGACCGACACUGACACUGAGGAGCGAAAGCCAGGGGAGCAAACAGG
rnacentral:rRNA from 1 species